rnacentral:lncRNA from 1 species
UUAAACUCAGUUCCAGGUACUUUUACAAGUAUCACCCCCAUGGUGCUAUUAGGUUUUUAGCUAUUGGAUCUACUUCUUGAUUACUAAUAGCCGUUAGAUCAAACACUAUUCCACCUACCAGCACCUACCACCACCUACCACCAUCAUCUCAACCUCACAUAUCUCCAUCCAAUGGCUAAAAACUCAAAAACACCACCCCCAUGGUGCUUUUGAGAGUAUUCUAGCUCAACUCUAUAUAUA